rnacentral:hammerhead_ribozyme from 1 species
ACUCAGCUGAAGAGUCCGAAAUAGGACGAAACGCUCUUCCAAUUGGAU